GCAUCUCUAGCUCAAUUGGUAGAGCAGGGGCCUCUUAAGCCCAAGGUUCCGGGUUCGAUUCCCGGGGGAUGCACCA
rnacentral:tRNA from 1 species